rnacentral:lncRNA from 1 species
AGAUGCCAUCCAGGCGCACGGCGGGUAUAGUGGUUCCGCAACCUUGGGAUGUUCGGCUGAGCGCCUGCCUAACAUGGGAGCGCCUGCCUAACCCUCCUGACUGGAGGGUCAGCGGCGGGGAGUCCUGGCCUUCAAUCGGCCAUCGCCACGGCAGAAACUGGGGCCCGGGCUGCGUCCAGGCCCUUCCCCGUCCGUCCACAGGUCUCAUGGGCGCCCGGACUGGGGCUGAUGUAGUUUCCCGACCUCUGACACAUAGGAUCUGGAGAUUAAAGCUGCUCUGCUAAUAAUUAGGUUCCCACCUCUCAAGAUCAUUAGGAGCUUCUUUUCCAAUUCCUCUGUUUUGCAUGCAUUGGAAGUUCCUCCCCUAACCUGGUGCUAAAUUAGAUCAUAGUGUGGUCCUUGGACCAACAGUAUCAAUAGCACCUGAAAGUCAUGCUGGAAAUACAGAUUCACAGGCUGCUCCCCAGAAUACUGAAGAAGAAACUCUAGGAGUGAGACCCAACAAUCUGUGUUUAACAAGUCCCCAGCUGACACACACGUCUGCUCACUGCUUGCUCUUUGCACAGGCCCCUGGAUCCUCCUGGAAUCCCUGAUCCCUGUUGCUCCCUGGCGGAGUUUUCUAGUCCCUCUUACUUGAAGCAUGUCUUUCAGAGCCCGGCACCACCCAAGUUGGGUAUCUGCUACACCUCUAUGGUAUUUUUUUCACCUCAUAUCAUACCUUCCUCCCUCACUGGACUUCAGUGUGGGACCUGCAGGUCUCAGGCCUUCUGGGAAGUCCCAGCUUUUCUUGAAUGUUCUCUCUCUCUGGCCAGCUCAGGCUGGAGCAGUGGGUGUUGGUGCCAUCCUGUGGCUAUAGGUGAUAAGCCGGCUGUUCUUCACUGACCUGGUCUUACCUUGAACCCUGGAGUUCUCACAUGCAUGGAUUUAAAUGCUGUGUCUUUCUAAGGGCACAUUAUGGCCAUUUUCCUUAUCUCCCUCCCAAGGGGCUGUUUCCUGUAUUUAUUGACUCCCUGUUUAAAAAAAAUAUAUGUAUAUAUAGACAAAUUGGAUUGUACCCCAUAAACUGCAUGUUUUAAAAAUACUUCAAAGAAUAGUUUUUCAUUUUUUUCUUGCUGGUUUUUAUGUAUCUUCUAAAUUGUAUAUAUUUAUGGGGUAUAAAAUGAUGUUGUGAUUUUUCAAUACAGUGUGGAAUGAGAAUCAAAUUAACCUAUCCGUUACCUCAAGUACUUGACUUUUUUUGUGAUGAGAAGGCUGUUUAUCACUUUCACUCACCAG